rnacentral:rRNA from 1 species
UACCAGCUCUCCGAGUGGUGGGGAUGCUUAUUGGGCCUAAAGCAUUCGUAGCUUGCUGGACAAGUCUUUCGUUAAAUCCACCGACUCAAUCGUUGGACUGCGAGAGAUACUGUCCGGCUAGGGGGCGGGAGAGGUCGACGGUAUUUCUGGGGUAGGAGUGAAAUCUUAUAAUCCCAGGAGGACCACCAGUGGCGAAGGCUGUCGACUGGAACGCGCCCGACGGUGAGGGAUGAAAGCUGGGGGAGCGAACCGGAUUAGAUACCCCCGUA